AGGACGAACGCUGGCGGCGUGCUUAACACAUGCAAGUGGAGCGACGAACCAGGCUUCGGCCUGGGGCAGAGCCGCGAACGGGUGAGUAACACGUGGGUAACGUGCCCCGAUGACUGGGACAACCCGGGGAAACCCGGGCUAAUACCGGAUAUGCCCCCUCACGCGAGUGAGGUGUGUAAAGGAGCUUCGGCCUCCGCAUCGGGAUCGGCUCGCGGCCCAUUAGCUUGUGGUGAGGUAACGGCUCACCAAGGCUUCGAUGGGUAGCUGGUCUGAGAGGACGAUCAGCCACACUGGACUGAGACACGGCCCAGACUCCACGGGAGGCAGCAGUGGGAAUCGUUAGCGCAAUGCGACGUAAAGCGUGACGCAGCAACGCCGCGUGGGGAAGAAGGCCGUUCGGUUGGUAAACCCUUCGAGUUGGACGAAGGUCGGACGGUGAAGUAGCCGUUCCGACGUGUACGGUACCUUACACGAAAGAACGCCCCGGACUAACC
rnacentral:rRNA from 1 species